rnacentral:rRNA from 1 species
UACGUAGGGUGCGAGCGUUGUCCGGAAUUAUUGGGCGUAAAGCGCGCGCAGGCGGUCCUUUAAGUCUGAUGUGAAAGCCCACGGCUCAACCGUGGAGGGUCAUUGGAAACUGGGGGACUUGAGUGCAGGAGAGAAGAGUGGAAUUCCACGUGUAGCGGUGAAAUGCGUAGAGAUGUGGAGGAACACCAGUGGCGAAGGCGACUCUUUGGCCGUGUAACU